UUUGUUGUCUCUGCUUCCACUCAACAACGUACACUCUUCAUCUUCAUCUUCAUCUUCUUCUUCGUUUGUGUAUUCUUCGGCGACUCUCUAAUUUUGGUUUUCAAAACCGAUGAUCAUCUCGUUUCGUUCCUAUUCUUCUAGGGUUUCGUUCCUAUCCUUCUAGGGUGUGUUUUGAAAGCAAUUUUAUUAUCUGAUUAUCGCUCCCCCGGCCUCUGGGUGCUUUUGGAAGCGUGGCUUUCGUCUCUGAAAUCUCAACUUCUUCUAGGGUUUGAUUGUGCUGUAGUAUUGAUCGAUCGGUGAUUGAGGAGGAGGGUACUUAAGAUCUCUCCCUGAUGGUUUGAUUGAGGAUGAGGGUCUUCUUUUGGAAUUACUCCUGAACAGCAAGCUUUGUCAAAGGAUGGAUCGCAACUAGCUGCAAUACGUGAUUGUCAAAUUUGCUCUAGACUAGCAGAGAAAGGCAUCAGUGGAGAUGAUGAUGAUGACUUGCUUAAGCGCAAGACCUUUUGUGGUUUCUGAUCGGGGUGAGAUGGUUUGAUGAAUGAAUGAUGUUUCAGAAGUUGGGGAUUUAUGGUCAGAGAUGGAUUGAAGAAUGAAGAAGAAGACUCGAAACUGCUUAAGGUUUGUUCAAUGGAUCGUUGAUGAAUUAGCAAGAUAUGGUGCCAACCGAUGAUCGGAGGAAGAGCAAGUUGUUUCUUUCCAUGGUGGUUCAUCUGAUUUCAUGGAUCAUAUGCGGGGAUAGCUGGUGAUGUGUGAUUUGCUGAGUGCACUCGAGACAGUGGUGCGUCUUCUUCCUUGUACACUUCAAAUUCUCCCCUUCCAUAUAAGUUGUGAUGCAUUCUUACACAACGAUGGUCCAAUCCUAUUCUGGACAUUGGAUUGCGGUUUGUUUCAGGAGUCUAGAUACGACGACGACAACGGUAUCUAUGAUAUUGUUAAUCUUCCGGAGAGUGUUGCGGUUGAUCGGAGGGGGAGGUUGUUUGUUUCCAUGGCGUUUCUUCUGAUUUGACCGAGCAAGUAGAGAUCGUGGAGGUGCUUUCAAGAAUCAAAACUGAUUCUAUUGGAUUGAUGGUGUUUGACCAAGUACAGGUUUAAGAAACACCAUGGCCUAACGUUGCUGCUCAUAGCGGAGUGCUGCUGAACUAUUAUUAUCUAACCGAGAGCAAGAUAUAGAUACUACACUGUGGUUUUUGGCUGUCUCAAGGAGUCUCGUCAUCUGCUCACAGCUGAUAUGGGACCGGACUGCCACAAGAGCGGCCAAAGAGUGUAAACAUGGAGAAAUGAAGAAUGAAGAAGAAUACUCAAGUCUGCUUUAUCUCAGAGAGAUGGGUUGAAGAGUGAAGAAGAAGAAGACUUAAGCAGGCAUCUUCAGUGAUCCUAGUGGAAGUUAUAAGAAGACACUCUGAAUACUGAGUUACUGUACGUGGGCUCCCAUCAUCUGCUCCAUGGAAACAUUUGAAGGUCUGAUUGACAAGAUCAUUUGCGGAGAGCUUGUGAUGUGUGCUUUGCUGAGGUCACUCGAGACAAGUUGUGAGUCUUCCUCCUUGUCCACUUCAAAUUCUCCCCAUACAUAAGUUACGAUGCAAUCUUACACAACGAUUGUCAAAUCCUAUUCCAGAGAUUGGAUUGGGGUUUGUUUCUGGAGUCCAGAGAGACGACGACCAUAUCUAUGAUAUUGUUAAUCAUCUGGAGAGUAUUGGGUGACAAGAGGUGGUGCUGCUUUGAGUGUCAAGGAGGUAUCAGGAAAACCAAUUAAACUGGUAGGACGUGGAGAGCGAAUGAAGGAUCUUGGAACCUUUUUAUCCAGAUCGAAUGGGAGAUGUGCUUUCAUUUGUAUAGAAGGCAACACAAGUUAUAAUGAGUUCUGACAUCAACGAUUUCCUAAAGCAGACACGUGCUGGUUUGACUUCUUGGAAAUUGGAAUGAGACCCGGAAUGGGGAAAAUAAGUCGAGCACAAAUUCUAGAAGCGGAAAAGAAUAUUUUAGUCAUGGAAGCAAUGAUGGAAGUGAUGACAACAGGGGAAUGGGAGAACCCAGAGUUACUAGCGGAAUCACCAGAGAAGCAAUAAGGAUUCAGGAAAGACAGAACAUCAGAUACUACACUGUGCUUUUUGGCUGUCUCAAGGAGUCUCGUCAUCUGCUCACAGCUGAUAUGGGACCGGGCUCUUGGACUGCCACUAGAGCGGCCAAAGAGUGUAAACAUGGAGAGGUUACAUGUCCUCCAAAAGGUGAAACUUUGCAACUUCGUGGGGCUCUUAAGCUCUCCCUAAACCACCAGAGGAUUGUUUCAUUAGGGACUUUGUAGAAACAUGGCACGAAGACGCAGUAGUUUUUUCUCGUCCAAGGUAAUUGUUAAAUCCAACCCGUUUUUCGUCAGAUUAGUGUUUGAGGUUUCGGUUUCACAAAUCCUUGUGUCGACAUGGGUUACUAUAACAAUGUCUUUGAUGAAUCCAACGACCAAACUGAUAUUGGAACCAUUGGACAUAUCGCUCUUGGAAAGCCACUGUUUUGAAAGCUAUUUCUGGUGGGCAGAGGCUCAUCCAUUGGCGAUGAUGGUGAUGUCUCUAAUCUUCCAAUAUGGCUUUGGUAGAGGAGUGUCUCUCAAGGUUCCCUUGGAAUCCAUGAGAUCAGUGCGUUUAACUAGCAAACACUAACACUGGAACACUUUAUUCAAAAGUGGGAGCUUUACAUAGAUGCACCUUGGUGAAUUAGCAGAAGCAAGAGAAUUAGGGGAGUUUCGGGUAUGAUCGUGAUGAUGGAUUACAAUUAAUGUUUAUUUAACGAGCGUCGUCGUCGGCAAUGGAAACCCAUCAGCAAAGCCUCUAGGUAAACUUACUUGCUUUAACGAAGAACAAGUCAAGAUAGUUGUGUGCUCUUAUGGUCCAAGUUAAGCACAAAUCAAGCUACCUGAAGCUUGAAGCUAGAGGAGUCGAAAGGAAAAGACAAAGCAAUUAAGUCCAACUCUUGGUCCUUUUGUGGUUGGACCAGUUUUAAAAGUCGAAAUCUUAAAGCUUGUUCACUUUGUUUGUCCUUUCUUCGUGCUUUGGUGUGUGCUUCGCUUGUAACAUGUUUAGCACGUCGAGCAGACACAUUAUAAUAAUGAUCUUUUAAUAUAGUAAAAGCGUCAAUACAUAAUUGAGUUCUAAUU